rnacentral:rRNA from 1 species
UACGGAGGGUGCGAGCGUUGUCCGGAAUCACUGGGCGUAAAGGGCGCGUAGGCGGCGCGGGCAGUCAACGGUGAAAGCUUGGGGCUCAACCCCGAGUCGGCCGUCGAUACUCCCGGGCUGGAGCACUGUAGAGGCAGGUGGAAUUCCACGUGUAGCAGUGAAAUGCGUAGAGAUGUGGAGGAAUACCGAUGGCGAAGGCAGCCCCCUGGGUCAAGACUGACGCUCAUGCACGAAAGCGUGGGGAGCAAACAGG